UACCACGGCCCACGUGGGCAUCAUGCUA
rnacentral:piRNA from 1 species